UGAGAGUCUUUUAGUGAAAUAGUGGACCACGUCACUUGUCCACCAUGAGGACCUUAUAAUUUCUCCACUACCAUAGGUGCCUCUCUCUCAAACGUAGACCCAAGCUCGACCAUGGGUGCCAACGUUUUAAAUCUUCAACCCAGCCCCCAUAUCAGAUCAUUCUCUCUAGAUAGCAAAGAGUAGAUGAGAGAAUCAAAAGUGUGUCCAACAAAGGUUACUAGAAGAUCUAGGAAGUAAAACUCAUUCCAAGUUCACUGUAUUGGACAAGGGAACUAAAAUCUGUUCUAAUUUGAAAGAGAUUAGUGACUCAAAUAUAUUGGCACCACACCAAAUCCAAGAUAAGGUUCUAAAGGAUGGCUAGAAGAAGAACGAGAAGACUAUAUCUAGGUAAUACUAACCAUUAUGCUUGCAUCUGAAUUGGUUAUGAAUAAAUCGAAAAUCAUAUUCUACAAGUUUUGUAAGAAAAUAUUGUGGAUAUGAAUGAGUUUCGUAGUGGAGAUAGUAUUGAAGAGCCUCCUAACUCUCAAAAUCUGACAACAAUCCUACAGAAUUCUUAUAUAUGGAGAGUUGUCAGUUGGAAGGGAAAUAAGGAGGGUGGUCUUGGUAGGAGUAAAGUAAUGCUCCCCGAUGAAAUGCUGAUGGAGGUUGAGACAUUUCUUACAACUCAGGUACUCAAAACAGUGUCUACUAUGUUGAUAACUUUGAAGUUGAGGACAGGAUAUCAAAUGCUCUGAUUUAAUGUUCAAAGGUCUUUUGAAUUUUCACAAGAUAAUAAAUCUUUUUAGUACUUAGAAUGCCCUUUAGAGAAGGUUGUUAAUGCUGACCUUCACAAUAAGGUCUGCUCAUGAUUUGUAUGUUCUAAAUUGCAGAGGAUGAUGAAGCCUUUAAUGUACUAUACUAUAUUGCUUUAUUUUAGUAAACUGUCAAAACAAAAUAACACUUAACUUAUAUUUCUCUCUCUCUCUUAGCUUUCAAGCCAUUGUUGAUAAGCAACUUCUAUUCCUAACAAUGUCACUCUCUCUUUUAUGAUUCUUGAUAUUUAAGUUGUCCAAAGCCAUGCCUCCCAAUUUAUGAGAUUGCUAAUUAA